CAAUGCUCCGUGUUGAAGACCGUAAUUCGGCCUAUGAUGGUUUACUUUUACGAAUAGUGACUUAGAUGGAGAGUUUUCUUAUUGGCACUCAUACCACAUCUUCUUAUAUUAUUCUGCUCAUUAUUAGUCAUUGAUAAUUAUUCAAGCAGUUUACUUUGCAAUUACUACAAAGGUGAUAAAUUUUAUUACAUACAGCCUCCUCCAUUUCUAACUACUGUUUCCUUUGAAUCUUAAAUAAGAAAUAAGAUAAAACAAAUGUUUGCGUUAUAACGCAAACAUAGGAAGAAAAAUAAAAAAAAAUGUGUUGCGCUAAUACGCUUCCGUACUUUAUCCACAUUCGGAACCUAAAUAUUGACGCCGCUUUGUCUCGCUUUUGGGACACAAAUCACAAGCUCGACAAAAAUACAAACAGC
rnacentral:lncRNA from 1 species